CCCCCAAUCCCGGAAGUGGGGGCAAGUCUGGCCCGUUCCCCAGCGGAAACAAGGCUUCUUCCACCUGCCCCGCCUCCUCGAGCAGAGGCGGGGACGAGGCUGAGGCUCGCUUCCCAGGGUUUUCUUAACACCUCAGGCCAGUAGCAGCUCCAGUGCCUCUGGGUUUCUGUGGAAGGUGUGGGGGCGUUGUUUCGAUUUCGGGCUGAGCAUCCCGAGUGCUGCGCCCUUCCAGGCUGCGCCCUUCCAGCCUCGACUUGUAUGAUGUCAGUACAGCUAGUGAGAUGCAGCACACCACCCUUUGCUUCUGGAACAGAAACCAGACUGCAAAGGGCACUGGGCACAGAAGCUAAUGGGACUCGGAAUGACAAGACAAAAAGAGCAGAAACGGUCCAGUGCCUCUCAAUGAAUAUUUCAGGACUAUCAACACAUGCUUAUCAUGAGGAAAUUGCUUGUUUAUGCAGAGCAUGGUGCCGACGCUCCAGAACACAGCUGUUUUUGUCAGAAGUUAGGAGACCGUGAGUGACGUGGAGAAAGGUCCUAGGAACAGGGUUCUAGAACUCCAGAGUGCCUGCCUGGAAAUUUGAAGGGUAUCACGCUGCAUAUCUCAGAGGCUGAGCAUAUCUCGGUGCCUGAGCCAGUCUCUACAGUAAACUUGGGCUGUUCUAGAAACGUCUUCACUUAGCUCUCUACAAGUAAGGAUGGCAUCCUAGGAGUGCUUCAGAGGAAACAUAAUGAAGUCAACCCAAGCAUCCUGAAGGAAAAA